UCAUCUCGUUCAGGAUAGGAUCUGUGGCAGGUUUUUGUAACACGACAAUAAAUCUUCGUGUUCCAUAAAAGAAGACAAAUUUCUUCACUAGCUUGGCGUACUAUAAAUUUAUCAAGAAAGACUCUGCCCCAUGUGGUUAGUUACUUUACUUAUGUCCACACGAUCUCACAUGGACUAUGUAUCUACCGUCGAAACAGAAUGACCGUCAGUACCCAGCAGAACGCCGUAAGGGUGUGCUCGGCUUCAUCGAUCCUGCUAGCUGGGUUCCGCUUUGUGCCUCGCCCUACAGGACCCUACAGGUCUCCACGGCCUUUCUCAGGCAGUUCCUUCUCAGACAAAUUCUAAGAAGCUCAGCACGGAAUCAAAGUAUGUGAGAAAAGGCAACAAACAUCGAUACAGCUCUUUGUGCAGUAUUUGUUUUUUGUCUAUUGCAGGUCGUAAGUUCCUACAGACAGGCGCUGGUUCAUCACGCACCAAAUGACAAAGUGAAAAAUGCUUGUGACCGAUUCGGAGGCAUGUCAGUGUGACUCCUCCUACCUGACGACAGUGAAAGACGAUAGCCACUUCCGCACAGAUGGCAGCACCUUACGCAAUUUUCUUCCCGUAUUGCCACGAGAAAAGAAUAGCGCGAUGUAAGAAGAUACGAACAUCGUAGUCGAAAUAUCUAUCAGAGACCAGCGUUCCGUCCAAGGCUGCCCUGUUGCCAGCGAACCAGUGCUCAGGUGCCCAACAAAACACAACAGAUCUCAACAACGAUGGGAUGGUCAGGAGAGUGGCCACUGAGACACUGUAAAGCGCUUAAGGAAUUUGUGCAGAUAAGAUGGUGGCGGACGAACAGAAGAGCUAGGCAUAUUGCAUAAAGUUUGGUGGUGAGGACGCUGUUAAAACUGUGGGAGCGAUAGGAAAAUACACUGACUGUCGGUCGAUCCUUGUACAAAGGAAAGAUCAGGGGCUCUCCCGACUCCAAAGGUUUGUUCUUUGUUCCCUCAGACGACUAGUGCGAAAGGCGCAGAUUGUAAGACGAAUUGCUGCAUUGUGACUGCGUCUACGCAAGAAACAGGCUGUGUAUUUACUAUCAACAUCGAGAGAUAUGCAUCGCUCAACUCCUCUCGAGAAUUUGUCGACAUAGAUUCCAUGGACGGCAUUACGAACGAUCCUUUGCCGACCAACAUGUUUAAAAAAGCAAUAAAUUCAUAAACAGAAGAAAAAUGAGAUGUGGGACAAAACUGCUGUUGUGAAAACACAGAUAGACAUGACAGAGCCAGGUGAGGAUGAAGUGGUGAUUAUGUUGAUGAUAUGGUAUGUGAUCAGGACGAAAAGAGAUCAGUUGAGAAGAAGAAAAAGUGGUAACGGCGAUUACAAGAUGAGACACGAAAGUGGAAGAAGUUUAGGAGAUGGAAAGAAGAACCUGACAGACCCCUUACCUUUAUGACGGGAAGGCGCAGAACCUAUGAACACAUUCACUGCCGGCAUUUAAUGUUAUGCCUUAAUUUAAGGUCUCGUGACGUGGAAAUUAUGUGCUAAAUCGAUAUCUUUCGGCCAUGUUAGUAUUAAGAUCUAUCCAUUAGGCAUAUAUUGAAACCCUAAUUUUUGUACAGCAAAUGUAAAUUAUCCAUUACCUCAGACACAAAGUUACAAGCCUAAAGCCGUUUAAAAUAAUAUUGAUAUAAACCUUGUUAACUCAAUGGAGCAGUCUCAUUGAAAAGCUAAUAAACGAUUCGAUAAUCAAGAAAUUGCUCGGCUUUUAUGUAACCAGAAAUUAUAUUACCGUGGACAAAGUAAACCGCCACUGGAACCUGUCCUAACUCAGAAGAAUAUAGUCUAUAUCCUCCAAUUUAAUUUUCUUGACACCCACUUUAAUAUUAUCAACCGCCUAUGCCUCAAUACUCCAAUUGGUCUUUUCCCCUCAGGUUUCUAAUCACUUCCUUUGCAUGCUACAAGCAUGAUGUUGACAAAGGUUUCCAAAAUUGCAUUUACGGAUAAGUUAAAAACAGAUGGAAUUCGAUAAAUAUUUGUUACUGUUUAGCUCAGAAUAUUUUGUGUUCUCUUCAACUAUUUAACACCUAAAUACGUAUUAAGUUAUAUUAAGAUGUCACUGUAUCUAUUAUGAGUGUAAAAUAUGAGAACCUCUUCCUACGAGAAUAACACAGAAUGAGGUUAUUCUAGAACAAAGUUCCUAAGAUAAUAUCUAGACCUAACGGAGAUCAACUUAACAGGGAAUCGGAAAUAUUACGUAUUCAUAAUCGUCAUUAUUCGCCUAAUAUUAUUAGGGUGAACACAUGAAGACGGAUAACAUAUGGGACAU